rnacentral:rRNA from 1 species
CCUACGGGAGGCAGCAGUGGGGAAUAUUGGACAAUGGGGGAAACCCUGAUCCAGCGACGCCGCGUGAGUGAAGAAGUAUUUCGGUACGUAAAGCUCUAUCAGCAGGAAAGAAAAUGACGGUACCUGACUAAGAAGCCCCGGCUAACUACGUGCCAGCAGCCGCGGUAAUACGUAGGGGGCAAGCGUUAUCCGGAUUUACUGGGUGGAAAGGGAGCGUAGACGGCAGCGCAAGUCUGGAGUGAAAUGCCGGGGGCCAACCCCGGAACUGCUCUGGAAACUGUGAAGCUGGAGUGCAGGAGAGGUAAGCGGAAUUCCUGGUGUAGCGGUGAAAUGCGUAGAUAUCAGGAGGAACACCAGUGGCGAAGGCGGCUUACUGGACUGUAACUGACGUUGAGGCUCGAAAGCGUGGGGAGCAAACAGGAUUAGAUACCCCUGUAGUC